rnacentral:rRNA from 1 species
AUGAGUGUCAUGAGUUGGAACUGCCGAGGGCUUGGGAACCCUCGGAUAGUUCGAGAGCUUCGCAAGAUUGUGAAGCAAGAAGGUCCCUCCCUUUUGUUCGUCAUGGAAACCAAAAUAAAGGGAAAAUGGGUGGAGGAGUUGAAAGCCACUCUGGGUUUUUAUGGAUGCUUUGCCGUUGAUAGCAACGGGUUGAGCGGAGGUAUUGGUCUUUUUUGGACAAAGGACGCAAUUGUUACAUUGGACAACUAUAGUUUGUCACAUAUUGAUGUGAAAGUCACUCUGAACAAUAAGAUGUGGCGUUUCACUGGUUUUUAUGGUGAGCCAAGGUGGAAAACAGACAUCACAGUUGGCGUUUUUUACGUACUUUGUAUGCUAUUCAGCAUGAAGCGUGGAUCUGCGUCGGAGAUUUUAAUGAAACACUUCAUGCCGAAGAGCAUUUCAGCAUCAACGCUAGACCAGAACACCAGAUGCGGGCAUUCCGGGAUGCUGUAA